GACGGGUGAGUAACGCGUGGGUAACCUGCCCAUAAGUGGGGAAUAACAGUUGGAAACGACUGCUAAUACCGCAUAAGCUGAGCAAUCAGUAAAGGAGGCUAACGCUUCCGCUUAUGGAUGGGCCCGCGUCUGAUUAGCUGGUUGGUGGGGUAAUGGCCUACCAAGGCAACGAUCAGUAGCCGGCCUGAGAGGGUGGACGGCCACACUGGGACUGAGACACGGCCCAGACUCCUACGGGAGGCAGCAGUGGGGAAUAUUGCGCAAUGGGGGAAACCCUGACGCAGCGACGCCGCGUGAGCGAAGAAGGCCUUAGGGUCGUAAAGCUCUGUUUUAAGGGACGAAUAUCCUCAGUAGUAACUGACUGGGGAAUGACGGUACCUUAAGAGAAAGCCCCGGCUAACUACGUGCCAGCAGCCGCGGUAAGACGUAGGGGGCGAGCGUUGUCCGGAAUUACUGGGCGUAAAGAGCACGUAGGCGGGAUUUUAAGUCAGGUGUGAAAGACCGUGGCUCAACCACGGGGUUGCACAUGAAACUGGAAUUCUUGAGGGCAGGAGAGGAAAGUGGAAUUCCUGGUGUAGCGGUGAAAUGCGUAGAAAUCAGGAGGAACACCGGUGGCGAAGGCGACUUUCUGGACUGACCCUGACGCUGAGGUGCGAAAGCGUGGGUAGCAAACAGGAUUAGAUACCCUGGUAGUCCACGCUGUAAACGAUGGAUACUAGGUGUGGGAGGUAUCGACCCCUUCCGUGCCGCAGCAAACGCAAUAAGUAUCCCGCCUGGGGAGUACGGUCGCAAGGCUGAAACUCAAGGAUUGACGGGGGCCCGCACAA
rnacentral:rRNA from 1 species